rnacentral:rRNA from 1 species
CAGUAGCCGCGGUAAGACAGAGGUCCCGAGCGUUGUUCGGAUUCAUUGGGCGUAAAGGGUGUGUAGGAGGCCAGGUAAGUCAGGUGUGAAAUCUCAGAGCUUAACUCUGAAACUGCGCUUGAUACUGCUUGGCUAGAGGAUCGGAGGGGGUAACGGAAUUUAUGGUGUAGCAGUGAAAUGCGUAGAGAUGUGGAGGAACACCAGUGGCGAAGGCGACUCUCUGGUCUGUAACUGACGCUGAGGAGCGAAAGCGUGGGGAGCGAACAGGAUUAGAUACCCCCGUAGUCCCUGUCUCUUAUAC